rnacentral:tRNA from 1 species
GGAUGUGGCUCAAGUGGUAGCGUGCUCGCCUGGCAUGCGUGCGGGCCCGGGUUCGAUCCUCAGCACCA